GGGGGUGUAGCUCAGUGGUAGAGCGCAUGCUUUGCAAGCAUGAGGCCCUGGGUUCGAUACCCAGCACCUCCA